rnacentral:rRNA from 1 species
CUGCCAGAAUUCAUAUGCUUGUCCCGAAGACUCAAGCCAUGCAUGCCUAGAAGAAAAAUCGGUGCCGAGGUGGUGUUGAGGUUUCGAUCUCUUUGCUGCUGAGGUGCUGAGGAAUCAGCGAACGGCUCCGCAUAUCUGUUGUCACCUAUCGUGGUAAAUCAGGCGUGGAUAUAGCAUGGAAAAGCUGUGUGUAACACAGUCAAUAUGGGGCAACCGCCGUCACUUGGCAACGACAGGUGGGGUAAGCGGGCUCAUGACCAUGAAUCCUGCCUCUUUAACAGCUCCCAAAGUACCUUCAGGGCACAAUGCCAGGCCCUUAGGGCCUGCCAAUGUGACAGUCCUGGGGAAACGGAGGCCUCAGCUGGCCCGGGCGAGCUCCCCAGCCACACCCCUUCGUAAAGGCGGUGGUUAUGGCUAGUUCACCGGGCUUACUGCAGAGACUAACCACAAGCGCACGAUGGGCUUCAGACCUAUCAGCUAGAUGGUAGGGUAUUGGCCUACCAUGGCUAUGACGGGUACAGAGGAUUAGGGUUUGAUCCUGGAGAGGUAGCCUGAGAAAUCGCUCCCACUUCUAAGGAAGGCAGCAGGCGCGUAACGUUCCCAAUGCUAGUAACCCUAGUGAGGACGUGAGGGGACAUAACAAUACCUCUUUAGCUAGUGGGUAAUUGACAAUGGGGCGGGCUCAAACACCCCACUGAGAAGCGACUGGAGGACAG